rnacentral:rRNA from 1 species
GGUCAUACGGAGGAUCCAAGCGUUAUCCGGAAUCACUGGGCGUAAAGAGUCGCGUAGGUGGCAAAGUAAGUUGGUAGUGAAAGCAUACGGCUCAACCGUAUAUACAUUACCAAAACUGCUUAGCUAGAGGACGAGAGAGGUAGUUGGAAUUCCUAGUGUAGGAGUGAAAUCCGUAGAUAUUAGGAGGAACACCGAUGGCGUAGGCAGACUACUGGCUUGUUCCUGACACUAAGGCACGAAAGCGCGGGGAGUGACCUGGAUUAGAUACCCAGUUAAUCCGCGCCGUAAACGAUGGAUGCUAGCUGUUAGAGGUAUCGACCCCUCUAGUAGCGAAGCUAACGCGUUAAGCAUCCCGCCUGUGGAGCACGGUCGCAAGACUAAAACAUAAAGGAAUUGACGGGGACCCGCACAAGCGGUGGAGCGUGUUGUUUAAUUCGACGGUAAGCGAAGAACCUUACCCAGGCUUGACUUCCUUGGAAUUUCUCCGAAAGGAGAGAGUGCUUUAUUGAACCAAGUGACAGGUGCUGCAUGGA